UUGCCAGCGCAGCGCGGCGGGCGAAAUCUGAACCUGGUCAGAGUCGGAAGGCAGCAGCCAUAAGGGUUAUCGUUCGGGUGCCGCUGCUUACUGGCAGUGC
rnacentral:SRP_RNA from 1 species